rnacentral:rRNA from 1 species
CGGCAACAGCUCAAAUUUGAAAUCUGGCCCCGGGCCCGAGUUGUAAUUUGCAGAGGAUGCUUUUGGCGCGGCGCCUUCCGAGUUCCCUGGAACGGGACGCCAUAGAGGGUGAGAGCCCCGUCUGGUCGGACGCCUAGCCUCUGUAAAGCUCCUUCGAC